AGAGUUGGAUUAUGGCGUCAGGACGAACGCUGGCGGCGUGCCUAACACAUGCAAGUCGAGCGGGGACAUGCGACGGAGAUGAAGAUUCGGUUGGAGUCAAAGAUGUAUUGUUCUAGCGGCGGACGGGUGAGUAACGCGUGAGCAACCUGUCCCUUACAGGGGGAUAACACAGCGAAAGUUGUACUAAUACCGCAUAAGACCACAGAUUCACAUGGAUCAGGGGUCAAAGGAGCAAUCCGGUAAGGGGUGGCUCGCGUCCGAUUAGAUAGUUGGCGGGGUAACGGCCCACCAAGUCGACGAUCGGUAGCCGACCUGAGAGGGUGAUCGGCCACAUUGGGACUGAGACACGGCCCAAACUCCUACGGGAGGCAGCAGUGGGGAAUAUUGGGCAAUGGGGGAAACCCUGACCCAGCAACGCCGCGUGAGGGAAGAAGGUUUUCGGAUCGUAAACCUCUGUCCUUGGUGAAGAGGAAGAGACGGUAGCCAAGGAGGAAGCCCCGGCUAACUACGUGCCAGCAGCUGC
rnacentral:rRNA from 1 species